rnacentral:rRNA from 1 species
UCUUGGUCAUUUAGAGGAAGUAAAAGUCGUAACAAGGUUUCCGUAGGUGAACCUGCGGAAGGAUCAUUACCGAGUUGGGGUCAUAUGUUUGGCCCGACCUCCACACCUUUGUGUACCAUGCAUAUACUGUUGCUUUGGCAGGUGAUAUUAAUGCCCCUGCCAGAGCCCCAACAAAAAUCUAUAUUUUAUUGUCUGAGUUUGAAUGUAAAAAAAUCAUUCAAAACUUUCAACAACGGAUCUCUUGGUUCCCGCAUCGAUGAAGAACGCAGCGAAAUGCGAUAAGUAAUGUGAAUUGCAGAAUUCAGUGAAUCAUCGAAUCUUUGAACGCACAUUGCGCCCCUUGGCAUUCCGAGGGGCAUGCCUGUUCGAGCGUCAUUAUGAAAAUCUCAAGCCUCUUUUAAUAAAAAAAAAUGAAGCUUGGUGUUGGGUUUUCGUCCCUAGCCCAUCCACUCUCCUCUUGAGAGGAGUGGUUGGUAGGGGGGCGUACCUGAAAAUCAGUGGUGGUGCCACGGUGACCUCAAGUGUAGUAGACUUUUAACUCUCGCUUUGGAUGGUCAUUUUGAAGUACUGCUCAACAAUCAUUUAGAAAUAGUUUGACCUCGGAUCAGGU